CUCCGAUUAAUUUGGAUAAGUUGCAUCGCCGCAUCAUAUUUGCCAUGUCAUGCAUAUCAUAUUGAUCAUGCUGGUUCUUCUUCCGUAGUAGUAAGACUUGCACCCGUUGUUUGUCCAGCAUUUGCUUCUUCCCGGAUAGGAUCACGAAGUGGUGCUGUGAGAUACGACAAGUUCUCCGGAUGUCCCUCGGCAAGCUUUAACAGGCAAGCAUUUUCCCCUAUACUUCUGCCCCUACAGAAGUCGCUCACCUAUUUUAUUUUUGCUUUCUCCCUCAUGCUAUCCUUAAGUUGCGUUCUUGUCACGUGUCCCUUCCACUUGUUACCUCAAGCAGCCUAUACUGCCUCCACCAACCACCUACAACUAUUGUUUGGUUAUCGGGUCUGCCUUGCGAGUCGUAGUGCAUGCUAGUGCUGUUUAUAUCGUGUUACCGUUAUUGCUAUCUUAUCGGGUUAUCAGUUGGGAAUCAUGACACAUGGUUUAUGGUUAUAUCUGUUGAGGAUAUCAUGGUUACUUGUUAAUAGUUGUUAGCGGAGACAUCGGUGGGUCAGCUGAUCGUUUUGUGACGGCUCACUUGUGUUUCUUUAAAACCUAGGACCCCGAGUUCUUGUUAUCUGUUCCAAGACUGAGCGCUCUAAUCACACGUGGGUAUGUUUCUGGGUCUCCCCUCGACCACUGCCGGAAUCUACAGCUUUGUCCAGUGGCCACAACUAGUUUGCAAUGUUUUACCAUUUGUUGUUGUGUGCAUGCCAGCUUGUUACUUAUUUACUUUGGGAAGCCCCUGGGUGCCUUGUAUCCCUUCUUUCUGGUAUGCACGUAUAGGUCGCGGAGCCGCUGCGAAGUGGUUAUCGCCCCAGUGUGUGUUUAAACCACCUAGUACGCUGUCGCAAACAGCUAGGUCCGCUUCGGAGAUACGGCCGGACUUCGAUACGGGUUUAACUUAGUUAGGUGGCUUCCUGGACAUUGUUGUCGUGAAGGAGAGUGCGAGUCGUGAUAUCCACCUGUCGCAAGUGGGUUGAUCGUGCGUGUGGGCACAUUUGGGCACCCCUGCAGGGUUACAUCUUAUCGAUAAGCCGUGUCCGCGGUUAUGGACGACUUGGAGUUGUAUGACUCGACCAUAGACAACUUACACCCGUUGUUUCAAUACUAAUAACUUGCAUAGUAAGAUAGAAUAACUUAAAUAAUAACUGGUUAAAACUUGAUAACCGUGUGAGUGCCUUUGUAAGUACUUCCUUGCGAGGGGGGAACACAUCGGCUGUGUUAUGUUUGCAGAGUAUAGAACUGUUAGUUGUGCGCUCUCUCAUCUUUUCUGAUUAGACGACUGUUGUAGAGUGUCUCUAUAGGUUUUUAGUGCUUGCGCGCUGCCGCUUAACCCCACCAUAUUGCCUAUGACGUUCCUCUUGCGUCCUCUAAGUCCCCUGCGUGCCUCAAGUACAAAGGACGACUGGUUGACGAAUGCUUAUACGUCUUGAAGUCUUGUUAAGUACGAACCCGUACUUAUUGCUGCUUCUACGGGAUAUAACCGGGCAGGUAUGAAGAUAUGUUCGAUGAAGAACGACGCUAGCAAGGUUACCCUUCCGGCUUGGCCUGGGCAGGGUUAUGGACGCCAUCGUUUAUCUUCAGGACUCUUAGUCCAAAUUUGUAUCUUGUCUGUACUCGGAUGUAUUUGAUCUUCUGUAUGAUUUGGAUCUUUGUAUGUACCUAUUUGUAUCUUGACUCGUUGGAGUCGUUGUUGUAAUAUAUAUGUAUCUUGUGGGCUCUAUUGUAAUCCUGUUGUAAUGUUACCUCU